CAAGACAAGAUUUACGUGGUUCGACAAUUUUUGCCUACUCCACGGCCACACAAAGAAUAGCUCUUUAUUAAUUGAAGAGAGAAAGAAGAAGUUUUGGGAUGAUCUACAAAUGAAAAUGUAGACCCCUAUUUAUAAGCAUUUGAAUGCCCUGCCGAGGUAAAAGCUUAUAUCAUAAGAAUGCCGAUGUAAGUGCUUACAUCAUAAGAAUGUUGAGGUAAGCGCUUACAUCACAAGAAUGUCGAUGUAAGCGCUUACAUCAU
rnacentral:lncRNA from 1 species